GAAGUUCCUGCAGGGUCGAAUUGGGAACACAUGAGAUGGAUGGUCCGCUGAGCUCUGAGCUCGAGCUCGGCCAUGUGUUCUCAGGUCGCCCCUGUUGGGUCUUC
rnacentral:pre_miRNA from 1 species